GGUGGCUCAGUGGUAGAGUGCUUGCCUUGCAUGCACGAGAGCCUGGGUUCAAUUCCUCAGCACCA
rnacentral:tRNA from 1 species